AUGUCAAACGAAGGCUUAAUUGUAUGAUUACACAAAUAAAAGUUUGGCUCCUCUCUAAUUCUAAAGGGAUUGAAGGACCUUCUAAUCUUUUGAUGAUAAAGUGACACGUGGACUCUUAAUGCAUUCAAUGGUUUAUAUCUUAACAAAACAGCAAACUCAUUUAUUACGCUUAAAAUAUUCCUUUUGGAGUCAAAUUCUCACUCUAACGGGUGUUCAAAUCAUCUCCAGUCAUUCUCUCCAGUAUUUCCUCCAAGGGACGGCCCAUAUUGCGUUACGUCACCCUAUUAAGUAAUCUGUGGCUCAGAUUGCUUCAGCGUAAAAAAAAAAAUUCAAAUCCAAAAUCCCCCAAAAUGUUAAAGAGAAGAGAGACAACAAAUGAAGAGAGAGAGAGAGAGGAGAUGCAAAAACGAACGAUCCCAGCCAUUGUCGUCAUUCUCCACUGGCGUCCACCGUCCACCAUUCUUCAUCGGUGACCAUUGUCCAUCAGUCAUUGUUAUCUGUCGGAGUGAAGAAAUCUUUUGAGAAGAUCAUCAGUCUUUAUCCAUUGUUGUCUGCUGGAGCUCUCUCACGCCGUAGAUUGAACUAGGUCAAUCUCAACGUCAAAUGCAAGUAUGGCCAGCAUUCAUGAAGUUAGAUUCGACAAUCGCAAUUGUCGAUGCGGAAACAAAGCCAUGGUUAAGAUUACUCAGUCAACGGCAUAAUUUGAAGGUGGUCGAGAAUGAUAUUCUUGAAGAGUGCAUGGAUGUCUUGUCUACUCUUAGAGAAGUAAUUAUCUUGAAUAGGGAGCUCAAAGACAUGACUAUAAAGAGUAAGAAACAAUGUAGAGACAUGGCAAUGGUGAUCGAAAGAGUUGGUGAUAAGUUGAAUUACGGCUUUGCUUUUAUUGUUGUGUUGUCGGUGGUAGUUGUCAUUCUAGUGUAUUUGAAGUAGUGUAUGUUUUUUGAUAAAUAGUGUAUUUGAAAUAGUGUAUGUAAUGUGGGGUAGAAUGAGUAUGACUUGUAUGUAAUGCUAAAAUGACUUCUAGGUGGAAUGUGUAUGUAAUAUAUAGUGGAUCACUACCAUUUUGUUGAAGUGAUAAUGAAUGUAAUAGCUUUUUUUUGUUUAAUGAAGUAGUAAUGAUUUUUUU